rnacentral:rRNA from 1 species
UACGUAGGGUGCAGGCGUUAAUCGGAAUUACUGGGCGUAAAGCGUGCGCAGGCGGCUCCUUAAGUCAGAUGUGAAAUCCCCGGGCUUAACCUGGGAACUGCGUUUGAUACUGAGGAGCUAGAGUGUGGAAGAGGGGGGUGGAAUUCCAGGUGUAGCAGUGAAAUGCGUAGAGAUCUGGAGGAACACCGAUGGCGAAGGCAGCCCCCUGGGCUAACACUGACGCUCAUGCACGAAAGCGUGGGGAGCAAACAGG